rnacentral:lncRNA from 1 species
GCGGCGGGGAGAGAAGUUUGUUCCUUGGGGAUUUCUAUCAAGGUUGAUCAUACACUAAAAGAUGAGAAAACAGAAGAGAUUAGGUAACUGCCCAAGGCUUCCCAGCUGGUAUGUGGUAGAGCUGAGAUUCAUUUACUUGGCCUUGAAGAGCUCCUGUAUCCAAAAGGAAGGUGCUUCCGCCCAUGUGGCCUCGGAGUGGGACCCUG